rnacentral:rRNA from 1 species
UACGUAGGUGGCAAGCGUUACUCGGAAUUACUAGGCGUAAAGCGCAGGUAGGAGGUUUGGUAAGUCUGUUGUGAAAGCUCCCGGCUUAACUGGGAGAGGUCAACGGAAACUACUGAGCUAGAGUGUGGUAGAGGAAGCUGGAAUUCCCGGUGUAGCGGUGAAAUGCGUAGAUAUCGGGAGGAAUACCUAUGGCGAAAGCAGGCUUCUGGACCGUCACUGACUCUGAUCUGCGAAAGCUAGGGGAGCAAACAGG